GAUGAACGCUGGCGGCGUGCCUAAUACAUGCAAGUCGAGCGAACAGAUAAGGAGCUUGCUCCUUUGACGUUAGCGGCGGACGGGUGAGUAACACGUGGGUAACCUACCUAUAAGACUGGAAUAACUCCGGGAAACCGGGGCUAAUGCCGGAUAACAUUUAGAACCGCAUGGUUCUAAAGUGAAAGAUGGUUUUACUAUCACUUAUAGAUGGACCCGCGCCGUAUUAGCUAGUUGGUAAGGUAACGGCUUACCAAGGCAACGAUACGUAGCCGACCUGAGAGGGUGAGCCGCCACACUGGAACUGAGACACGGUCCAGACUCCUACGGGAGGCAGCAGUAGGGAAUCUUCCGCAAUGGGCGAAAGCCUGACGGAGCAACGCCGCGUGAGUGAUGAAGGUCUUCGGAUCGUAAAACUCUGUUAUUAGGGAAGAACAAAUGUGUAAGUAACUGUGCACGUCUUGACGGUACCUAAUCAGAAAGCCACGGCUAACUACGUG
rnacentral:rRNA from 1 species